CAGUCGAGCGGAAACGAUGAUAGCUUGCUAUCAGGCGUCGAGCGGCGGACGGGUGAGUAAUACUUAGGAAUCUACCUAGUAGUGGGGGAUAGCACGGGGAAACUCGUAUUAAUACCGCAUACGACCUACGGGAGAAAGGGGGCAGUUUACUGCUCUCGCUAUUAGAUGAGCCUAAGUCGGAUUAGCUAGAUGGUGGGGUAAAGGCCUACCAUGGCGACGAUCUGUAGCUGGUCUGAGAGGAUGAUCAGCCACACCGGGACUGAGACACGGCCCGGACUCCUACGGGAGGCAGCAGUGGGGAAUAUUGGACAAUGGGGGAAACCCUGAUCCAGCCAUGCCGCGUGUGUGAAGAAGGCCUUUUGGUUGUAAAGCACUUUAAGCAGUGAAGAAGACUCCGUGGUUAAUACCCACGGACGAUGACAUUAGCUGCAGAAUAAGCACCGGCUAACUCUGUGCCAGCAGCCGCGGUAAUACAGAGGGUGCAAGCGUUAAUCGGAAUUACUGGGCGUAAAGGGAGCGUAGGUGGCUCGAUAAGUCAGAUGUGAAAUCCCCGGGCUCAACCUGGGAACUGCAUCUGAUACUGUUGAGCUAGAGUAUGUGAGAGGAAGGUAGAAUUCCAGGUGUAGCGGUGAAAUGCGUAGAGAUCUGGAGGAAUACCGAUGGCGAAGGCAGCCUUCUGGCAUAAUACUGACACUGAGGCUCGAAAGCGUGGGUAGCAAACAGGAUUAGAUACCCUGGUAGUCCACGCCGUAAACGAUGUCUACUAGUCGUUGGGUCCCUUGAGGACUUAGUGACGCAGCUAACGCAAUAAGUAGACCGCCUGGGGAGUACGGCCGCAAGGUUAAAACUCAAAUGAAUUGACGGGGGCCCGCACAAGCGGUGGAGCAUGUGGUUUAAUUCGAUGCAACGCGAAGAACCUUACCUGGUCUUGACAUAUCUAGAAUCCUGCAGAGAUGCGGGAGUGCCUUCGGGAAUUAGAAUACAGGUGCUGCAUGGCUGUCGUCAGCUCGUGUCGUGAGAUGUUGGGUUAAGUCCCGCAACGAGCGCAACCCUUGUCCUUAGUUACCAGCGGGUUAAGCCGGGAACUCUAAGGAUACUGCCAGUGACAAACUGGAGGAAGGCGGGGACGACGUCAAGUCAUCAUGGCCCUUACGACCAGGGCUACACACGUGCUACAAUGGUAGGUACAGAGGGCAGCUACACAGCGAUGUGAUGCGAAUCUCAAAAAGCCUAUCGUAGUCCAGAUUGGAGUCUGCAACUCGACUCCAUGAAGUAGGAAUCGCUAGUAAUCGCGGAUCAGAAUGCCGCGGUGAAUACGUUCCCGGGCCUUGUACACACCGCCCGUCACACCAUGGGAGUUGAUUGCACCAGAAGUGGAUAGCUUAACCUCGG
rnacentral:rRNA from 1 species